UUUCGUUCCCCCUCCUCCGUCUCCUUCCUCUGUUUGGUUCGGCGAGGGCGGCAGCGAAGGCGGAGGAGGAGCCCGAGGAGCGGCGGCUGCGGAGAUCGAACUACAAGGUUGCGGCUCUCAAGUCGGUCGAGGUUAGCCCCUCGUCCGUCGGCACCCUUCACCAGCCCCCUCAUCAUCAUCGAGGUGAACCUUAAAACCGUGGAGAGGUAUUAAUCUUAAUCUUGGGAUGCUGAGACAUCAAAGCUCAUCACAAGGUAAAGAAAUUAUGAUUAUGCUUUUUUAGUUUUAUGAGAAAGUGAAAAAAUCAAUUAGAGUAAAGAAGUUAGUCCAAGAAUAGAGGGUUAUGUUAGCAACUUGGAAUACAAGUACACUUUAGGGAAUGGAUUAGAAUUGAUAGGCACUAUGAUAAGAAGAAUAAAUAUUAUUUGCUUACUGGAAAUAGUUAAACACAAAAUGACAUAGGAAUUGUUCUCGAUAAGGUUCUUAAGAACAAUGUUAUAGAUGUAAAAAAGAUUUGAAGAUCAAAUUAUUGUUCUAAAAUUUAUAAAGGAACAAGAUUUUAUGAAUGUCAUUAAUGCUUAUUCCUCUUAAGUGAGAUUGAAUAGUCAAACCAAAAAAGAAUUUUGGAUACUUAGAUAUAUUAUCAUUUAAGGAAUAUUUAUAACAAAAAAAAUUAUAGUUGGAGGAGAUUUGAAUGAUCUUGUAGGGAAAACAUAUGAUAAAUAUAAAGAAGUAUAUAGGGGCUUUAGUUAUAGGGAGAGAAAUGAAAAUGAUGAUAUGAUUUUAGAUUUUGAAACUUCGUUUGAUCUUAUAAUUGUAAAUACUCACUUUAAGAAGAAAACAUUUGAUUACUUAUAAGAAUGAUCACAAUUGUAGUCAAAUACAGACUUAUUUUUUUACGGCUUUAUUGUUGUUAUUAUAGAAGGUGAAAAAAACCAUGUCUUGGUACUUUCAUCUAGAUAGAUUGAUCUACAUGAUCAUAUAAUGUUUUCCUUGAUCAGAUUUUUUUUCUUUUGUAGUGAGUAUUUUAAUGCUCAAGAGGAACAUGCAAUUUUGAAAAUAAUGAGGCUGUCAUUUUUAAUCUUAUUAUACACCAUAUGUAAUUCCACUUAGAAUCUCUGUGAAUGAAAUUGUGAAGAUUUUGGUAGAGAAGGCCGCCAUUGAGCUUUGUGUCUAGAUGGUGUCUAUCUCUAGAUCCAACUGCUGAUAUGAAUGCAUAGGUACAUAGAUAGUGUGUCUCUCUCGAUCCAAAUGCUUAUAUGAAUUGAUGGAUGUGUAUGUAUACACAAUACAACUUUGUUGACAUAUGAUGAAAUUUUUUAUCUUGUUUCUAAAAUAACUGUUCCUCAUGUGUCUCUUGUAUGUGUGCAUGUAUCACACUGAAUAGUUCAAUUAUGAGACCCUAUAAUUUUGAAGUCAGUAGAGAAUGAACACUCCAUAUGUUACAGUUCAUCACAUUGAUCUUUUACCUUUUCAAACCAAUUUCCCGAUAUGAAAAAAUGACAUGUUAAAUUUAUGAAACUAUAUAUUUUUGAGUUUCAUGUAGGUCUCAUGCUGAUGUUUCUUUCCAAGUAUUCAAACCAGUCUCCUCUUUCUUUUGAGACAUUAAUCAUGUGUUUAAUUAUUCCCAUAUGUUUCCCAGCAAUGGAAUCUUUAGAUGUACACGAGAAAUAGAAAAAAGAGCUUCCAGUUUUCUAUUAGAUGCUUGAUAGUAAAUGUUCCUUUGUGGUUGAGGAAUACAGGUUAGUAGAUGACAUGACAUAAUAUAAGCAACCUUGUAGUCUUUGUGCAAUUUGAAGAACCAAGGGGCAUAAAGACGGAAUUCCACAGAUGCAUUGGUCUUUCCAUGAAAGUCAAAAAGGUUAUUGGUAAUUGUGUCCCUCCAUACAUUGAUAGUGAUCAUGAUUAAUAUUUUCCUCAUUUUGACGUUUUUUUC